UGCUAGAGUCACACUCGAGAGCCUAACUUUUUUUCUAUACGUGACAUCUCUUUCUUGGACUUCUAUACGUGUGGAGCAAAUCCACAUUAUUUCGACCGACGGAAGAUCUCGCUACCGGGUGAGGGAAGAAGUACCGAGAGGUUCACUCUUUUCGCAUGACUUUCUUUCCUCGACAAUAACGAAGAAAGUAGUCACAAAGGACUCUAAGCCUUAGAACAAAAAGAUCAAUUCGCGUCCUCUGAUAAGAAUCUCUCAGAUUCUGUUCUUGAAUCUUCCUCGGCCGUAGCCUAGGAUUAAGAGCGACAUCCUCGAUGUCAAACCCCUGGAGGCACUCUACUCUCCAAUAGAUGUUUCCUCACCUAGUCCCGGAGACCUAACCUCAAGGCUUAGAAAGAAUAAAGAUCGGGGAACCUGCUAGCGCAGAGAAUCAAUGCGCCAAAGCUAUCGGCGCUGACCGCGUCCAUCUUAUCUUCUACGGGGUAGGUAGAGAGGCUUUUGCUACAGCCGAUGGUCUUCGCCUUCGGUGACUUCUCCUGGAGGAUGGUCAAGUAAAAGUAGCCGCUCAACACUCACGAGGGAGAUAGCCUACGCUAAUCACGCACCUCCAAAGAGGCAUCGAGACUGACCCGUUGAUGAAGCCCGGAAUAAAGAGACUUCUCACUCCUGUUAGUGAGAGAGUGGUCACAGUUCGGCACCUCGGGGGCUUCUCUGAAAGAGAGGGUAAGGAUUAAGGCUAGGUUAGGUCUACUCCACAAGAGCAAUCAGAAAUAAAGGACAGAGAGUCCCCUGUGAAGAUUUAUAGGCCAGGGUAAAGAUAGAUCGAAAUUCGCGCUCGGGUGUGAAUUGGUAGCUCACAAUCUAUGAAUUCACAUCGCCAGAAGGCUUAUAAAGGAUAGACAAUUCCUUGGGUGACCGGGGGGCUCUCGAUAAGAGCACAACCUUUCGCCUCGACGAGGCUAGGCCAGAGUGGAAGCUCUCCGGAUAAAGUGCUGACCGCAAUCAGGGAGUUCCUACGCUUAACCAGAUUAUUAGUCUUGGAAAAACUCCUCGUCUGCACCUCCCAUAGAUAAUGCGACAUCGGUCGAGGUCGGUGGGAACAAUCAAUUUCCUUGCACAGUGACUCAUACAUGCUUUAUUUAAUUGUAAAUUUGGCGUCCGGGCUGCCCAGUUGGACUAUGUCAGACAAGUCCUGAGAGUCCGGUGUUCCGGGUUGUGCACAAGAGGGCUGGGGAUCAUUCUCAACAAUCGGCGGCUCUUGGAGAAGGGGCACCCGACUCACUCAUAACCUCAUUAGCAGGAUCGAUUUGUUGACGUUUUGCAGCAGGCUCGCAUGAGGGACCGUCUGACCUUGCUCGUUUCCUGAACAAUGCCCGACGGCAAACACAAUAAAAGGAUAAGGAUAAGGCAAGACAACAGACCAGAGCAGUAGACCCGGCAUAACAAAGAAGGUUUUCCAUUAUUUAACUAGUUUAAACUAGGUACGACCAGCGCGGUUGUUCAUCUUUCAUUUUAUUAUUCCAAACCAAGGGAAUUCUGUGGGGACCUCCCUGGAAAUAGCAAUCCCCAAAAGGGGUUGUUCUUUCCUCGGGUAUGUAGUGGGAGAAGGAGACGUCCUUCGUUAUUACCACCAAUCAUAUCCCGAUUGGUCGAUGAGCUAUAUUAAUAACUCAUUGAUCAUAGGGUGGUUGAGCCAUGUGACUGAGGAAAAUAGUAGGAAACCUUGUUUCUUGCCCACAGUUGGGUUAUUGAGGUUCUCUCAAUCUUAGACUGAUUGAACUUCUGACCAAGAAUGUCCAUCGUCAAUCUGAGAGAAGGAAGAAAUUCCUUUGAUCUAUUCGGUGCUGGACUGUUGGCUAAUGAGAUCCCAUAUUUGCCUAAAAGGGCUUGUAUGGUAUCAAAUUGUCCGACAAUUCUUUGGUUCUCGAUACUUCUUUGUUGGAGGUAUGAGAUAUCCUUCUUUGGUCAGCCGAUUAGGUUACUAUAGAUCUUGGUUACUCUUUCCGUUGUCCUACUACUACAUAGUGUGGUUGGACUGCGAGUUUGAAUCCCGCAGAGUGACCUUCCCUUUAUGAUCACACCUUGCUUGGUGAUGAUAUCCUAAUCACCAAUAAGCAAGUGGCUCUUUCAGUACAGAAAAGUUACUGGAUAGACUCAGCGUUUGGACUUCUGAUUCAAAGUCACACAUCAGAAUAAGAAUGCUGGGUUUGCCAAAGGGAUGUUGGGGUAAAAUCCCAUCAUAUCACUGAGGCGAAUACUGUCCUGUAGGACAGCCUUUAAUCUGUGCCCUUUAACUGAUGAAUACCUGAUCGUAAUAGGUAUUUAGGAGUUAGUAGGGCUAGGAUUAAAGUCUUGUUCUCAUCUUCUCUCCAACCAUUUGGUAGGAUUGAGGAUGACUGUUAGUAAGCUUAACCGGUCACGUCCACUACCUUCAUAUAUUUGAUUGGAAGGAAAAAAAACCUCAAUCUGUGUUUGAAGGGAAAGAUAGUGGAUUUCUCCGAAGGAUAAAACCCAAGGAGAUACAUCUCUUUCUGUAGAGAUGGUGUUUAAUAGGGAUGGGCAUCAUUGGUCCCACUGUAACCCGUAAUGGGUGAGUAGUUCCAUAUGAUGUUUAGUACUAUACGGUUGUGUGCUCAAUCAAAGGUAUCUAUUAUCAUUUGAUGGAUGUGCCGUAUAUAGCACACUUGAAGGGUCCAACAAAGAUCUUGGUUUGAUCAAGUUCGGGCCUGAUCGAGACGUGUUAUAAUGUGGAAUCAGUGUGGGAUUGACGAUUACACCAAGGUACUCGGAAAUCUCUCACUGUCAUCCUCUUUGAUAAUGCAUAUUUGAAGGUUAUUCAAGAGGCAUCAGUAGACUUACCAUCUUCGGGUGAAAAGACGUAGUCUAUAAAGGAGCACCGGGGGCUCUCGAUAAGAGCACAACCUUUCGCCUCGACGAGGCUAGGCCAGAGUGGAAGCUCUCCUGAUAAAGUGCUGACCGCAAUCAGGGAGUUCCUACGCUUAACCAGAUUAUUAGUCUUGGAAAAACUCCUCGUCUGCACCUCCCAUAGAUAAUGCGACAUCGGUCGAGGUCGGUGGGAACAAUCAAUUUCCUUGCACAGUGACUCAUACAUGCUUUAUUUAAUUGUAAAUUUGGCGUCCGGGCUGCCCAAUUGGACUAUGUCAGACAAGUCCUGAGAGUCCGGUGUUCCGGGUUGUGCACAAGAGGG
rnacentral:lncRNA from 1 species